rnacentral:rRNA from 1 species
GUCGAUUCGAUUUACCUUCGGGUAUUGAGGAUGGCGGACGGGUGAGUAACGCGUAAGGAACUUGCCUCUUGGUCUGGGACAACUGUUGGAAACGACAGCUAAUACCGGAUAUUAUGAGAUUCUCGCAUGGGAAACUUAUGAAAGCUAUAUGCGCCAAGAGAGAGCCUUGCGUUCCAUUAGCUAGUUGGUGGGGUAACGGCCCACCAAGGCGAUGAUGGAUAGCCGACCUGAGAGGGUGAACGGCCACAAGGGGACUGAGACACGGCCCUUACUCCUACGGGAGGCAGCAGUGGGGAAUAUUGGACAAUGGACCAAAAGUCUGAUCCAGCAAUUCUGUGUGCACGAUGAAGGUCUUCGGAUUGUAAAGUGCUUUCAGUUGGGAAGAAGCAAGUGACGGUACCAACAGAAGAAGCGACGGCUAAAUACGUGCCAGCAGCCGCGGUAAUACGUAUGUCGCAAGCGUUAUCCGGAUUUAUUGGGCGUAAAGCGCGUCUAGGCGGAAAAAUAAGUCUGAUGUUAAAAUGCGGGGCUCAACUCCGUAUUGCGUUGGAAACUGUUUUUCUAGAGUACUGGAGAGGUGGGCGGAACUACAAGUGUAGAGGUGAAAUUCGUAGAUAUUUGUAGGAAUGCCGAUGGAGAAGUCAGCUCACUGGACAGAUACUGACGCUAAAGCGCGAAAGCGUGGGGAGCAAACA